CUUCCUUCCUUCUGCAAUGAGUGAAAUCUAUUUGCUUCCAAAGCAUUGAAAACAUCAGAAAGUAAGAUACAGGCCAAAUCCUUUCAAACCUCAAAUCAGAUGUAAAACUAACAUCUUAAGUGUUUCUGUCUCUCUAAAAAUUGCUAAGUUGGAAGACCUCAUGCAAAAGUAAUGCUUUUCAGAAGAGUGGAUAAAACGGAUGAAUUGAAAGUGGAUGAAACCGAUGAAUUUUCAAAAGACCAUUCACGAGCCUCCCUUUUGGUUGCAUUUCACAAUAUCCAAGACACCAUGAUGGAGAAUGUGCUCUCUGUGCUUAUGGAGUUGAUUAGUGGCCUGUCAGAAGCCAAUGGUUACUUCAGUGUGGAAGUAAUACCCAAUAUUAAAGUUGCUGUCAUGACUUUUCUCAAAAAUACUGGUGUCAGGACAUCUGUUAAUGCUUGUGUUGGACACAAUAGAGUUCAGCAAUUUGAGAUUUUCCCAAGACUUCUGGAACUGACAAGAACCAUUAGGGUUGAAAAUCUGCCACCUCAUAUUAAUAAUCGUUAAUAACAAUUUUCUUUGAAAACUCCACAAAUGGAGGAGAAGGAGUAACCAAUGCGCAGCUUUUCCCAGAGGAGAGUUCAGCCCUGGUUGAGUUUUCUUACUACAAAGUGGUGGACACCUGCUUGGGCUAAGAGCCUGUCUUCAGUGAAAGGCCCAUCUCUGUUUCCCAUAUGAUGUGACUUUGGUCGUAGCCUUGUAUGAAAAAGAGAAGCCACUGAGAAAGUUGCCAGCACCAUUUCUGGUGGCUCUGGAUCCUUUCAUAUGAAGAUCUUGCAGAAGAAGCAUCACCUGAUUGAAACAAUAAAUUAUAAAGGGACAGUGUCCUGUGAGGUAACAUGGCCCCAAGUCAGCUGUUAAGGAGUUAGAAGUAUCAUUCAGAUCUGUGGCCACUGAACUCAAGGAAGAACAAAGAUCAAUAUAAUCAAGACCUGGAAUGAGGAUAUUUCUAAAGACUUCUGCCAUAUCUUUUCUAAAUAUCAAGUCACCAAAUUGAAUGUGAAGUCAGUGCUAUGGGAAGACAUAAAAAACAGUAGAGGAUGAUGGGAUUUGGAUUGAGUUUGAUAUAUUCAAGAAGAUCAUGAUAACAGGUUGUUUGGAGGAGGUGAAAAGAAUUCACAACAAUUAAAGACACCAGCCAUAACACUGAGAAGGAAAAAACAAAAUUUGACAGGGAAUGUGGCUGGUUCUUUUCUGGUCUUCAUAUCAGUGCUUUGAAAGAGUCUGUACCAAAGGAAUUCUCGGGGUGGGAGUUCAUUAAUCAUGCUUGCACCAAACAUACCAGAGUCCAUGAAGGAG